rnacentral:rRNA from 1 species
UACGUAGGGUGCGAGCGUUGUCCGGAAUUAUUGGGCGUAAAGGGCUCGUAGGCGGUCUGUCGCGUCGGGAGUGAAAACUCAGGGCUUAACCCUGAGCCUGCUUCCGAUACGGGCAGACUAGAGGUAUGCAGGGGAGAACGGAAUUCCUGGUGUAGCGGUGAAAUGCGCAGAUAUCAGGAGGAACACCGAUGGCGAAGGCAGAUCUCUGGGCCGUAACUGACGCUGAGGAGCGAAAGCAUGGGGAGCGAACAGG